rnacentral:rRNA from 1 species
GAUGAACGCUGGCGGCGUGCCUAAUACAUGCAAGUCGAGCGAGCGGACGAGAAGCUUGCUUCUCUGAUGUUAGCGGCGGACGGGUGAGUAACACGUGGAUAACCUACCUAUAAGACUGGGAUAACUUCGGGAAACCGGAGCUAAUACCGGAUAAUAUUUUGAACCGCAUGGUUCAAAAGUGAAAGACGGUCUUGCUGUCACUUAUAGAUGGAUCCGCGCUGCAUUAGCUAGUUGGUAAGGUAACGGCUUACCAAGGCAACGAUGCAUAGCCGACCUGAGAGGGGGGUCGGCCACCCUGGAACUGGGACCAGGUCCAGACUCCUACGGGGGGCAGCAGUAGGGAAUCUUCCGAAAGGGGCGAAAGCCUGACGGAGCAACGCCGCGUGAGUGAUGAAGGUCUUCGGAUCGUAAAACUCUUUUAUUAGGGAAGAACAUAUGUGUAAGUAACUGUGCACAUCUUGACGGUACCUAAUCAGAAAGCCCCGGCAAACUACGU